UCUGCUUUCAUUCAAAGAUACGAUAUAUUUUGGCUAAAGAAAGCAAUCAUACUCCCGACGACAACAACAACCACUACAACAACCACUGCAACAACUAGGCCUACAGCCACUACAGCAACUGUAAAGACUAGUCCUACAGCAUUUACAACAACUACGUUAGAGACGUCACCUCAGAGUGUGCAGUAUAUGAGAAGUGGUGUGGCACUGUUGUUAUUCAGCAGACUUUGUUUUCUUGGAGGCUCUUCUCUUCUCAUGAUCAUCAAACCAGUUGCAAAGAUGCUCACCAAGAUUGCAUCCAUCAUCGAAGUAGCAUUUAAAUUUGUUGCUACUGUCCUUGUACUAAUAAAAGCUGCUCAUGUAAGGAUUUUUUUCUACUACAUCACAGUUUACUGUGGUUGAAGAAUGGAAUGUAGAAGCAAAAGAAGAAUUUCACAUCUAAUUUAGUUCUCACUGUUGUGUAAAUGUG